GCUGACAUAGCUCUAAUGGUAGAGCGGUUGCUUCGUAAGCAAUAGGUUCAGAGUUCGAGUCUCUGUGUCAGCUCCA
rnacentral:tRNA from 2 species